UACGAAGGGGGCUAGCGUUGCUCGGAAUCACUGGGCGUAAAGGGUGCGUAGGCGGGUCUUUAAGUCAGGGGUGAAAUCCUGGAGCUCAACUCCAGAACUGCCUUUGAUACUGAGGAUCUUGAGUUCGGGAGAGGUGAGUAGAACUGCGAGUGUAGAGGUGAAAUUCGUAGAUAUUCGCAAGAACACCAGUGGCGAAGGCGGCUCACUGGCCCGAUACUGACGCUGAGGCACGAAAAGCGUGGGGAGCAAACAGG
rnacentral:rRNA from 1 species